rnacentral:rRNA from 1 species
UACAGAGGUCUCAAGCGUUGUUCGGAUUCAUUGGGCGUAAAGGGUGUGUAGGUGGCGCCGUAAGUCGGGUGUGAAAUUUCGAGGCUUAACCUCGAAACUGCAUUCGAUACUGCGGUGCUUGAGGACUGGAGAGGAGACUGGAAUUCAUGGUGUAGCAGUGAAAUGCGUAGAUAUCAUGAGGAAGACCAGUGGCGAGGGCGGGUCUCUGGACAGUUCCUGACACUGAGACACGAAGGCCAGGGGAGCAAACGGG